rnacentral:lncRNA from 1 species
AGUGGCCCCACACGUGGUGCCUGGAGGCCUUCAAAAGGUUGUUGUCAGCCUCUGCCCUAUUUCAGAUGCUGGGGCGUCUAGUGCUGAAAUGCUUCGCUGAAGUCCCCAAAAUGCUAUUUUGGGUGACAAGUACAAAAUCACCCAUCACGGGUGACUGGGGGGCGUCAGGCCCAGAGGGAUGAGGGCUUCCCUGCGGAGAGAGGAGCCUGGGCACAGGCGUUCUCACUCUUCACGAGGGGCGCGUCCCUUCCCCUGCGCUACACCCAUGCGUGUUUCACAGCAAAGCCUGUGGCCCAAACCCCUCCGCACAGGGAAGCCCCGCAGGCUGAAGUCCAAGGGGCUGCAAGAGUCGGACACAAUUGAGCGACCGAGCGACCGAACCAAAGUAAACACCUCCAGCCAUCUGCAUCAAGCCCACGAGCGUCUCUCCUUCCGACCUUGGAGGAGGCCCGAGAGUGCUCCCCCGCCUUGGGGAGGAGGGAACCCCCGCCGCAGACAGCGCUGCUUUGCCUGAGGUCCUGUAGCUGCCAGCUGCCAGCACUGCCACGGUGGCACCGCCCACCCCUCAGAUGCCUUCCCUGCCUCACUGUUCCCAGCAUUUCCCAUGACUCAGUCACGCGUUUAUGGGUUCCUGUGUUCGCCGCCCCUCUCCUCCGCCUCCCCGGGGGCUCCACUGACGCCCGAGAGAACGGGGCCUGGCCACAAGCAGCCUCCAGGACCAGCGCUCCCCCACUUGAUAGAGGUGAUGGGCAGAGGCCGGCCCGGGCCCUGUACCCCCGCCCGCUGCCCCUGGCCCGCUGCCCUGUCCGGCUCCCAGGCGUGGUGGUCCCGGACAUCACUGUUCUGUCUUCAGACAGACAGAGGGGCUGUGGCUCGAUUUUCACCUCCUUCCCCAGCUCCUUCCUCCUCUGGGGAAAUGUGGAAAUAAAGUGUCCUUUUGCCUCUGAUUGGGAAUGGGGGAAAGGGGAGGCCUCAGACGCUGCUGGGUCUGAGACACAUAUUCAGUAUUCUCUUGGGAAAGGAACGCUUUUUGUUUCUAGAAGGUGAGUCACCAGAGGAUCCUCUGGGUUGGUGGAGACCCUGAGACAAGGGGUUUUCCUCUAAAAUUAGCAUGCCCCCCUCAGGGAGCACUAGCAUGCGGGGCAGGGGGGUGCCAGCCUCUCAGGGUGCUCCACAUCCCCGCAAGCACCCAGGGAAGGCGCCCGCCCCGCCACCCCUGGCCGGGUGACGGCUGAGGCCUCCUGGGCGUCUGCCGGGGCCCAGCCAAGCAGCACAUAACACCAGGUGACCAUCUGGCCUGAACCCACCCUGCCACAGGAGUCGGCAGGGCGCGGGGGCGGCACUGGGCCUGUCGACCCACCUGCUCUUCCAGUCCUGGCCUCGGGGGUGGGGCCCUGAGGUCCCUGGGUUGGCCUUGGCUUGGGUGGGGCCUCCGGAGGGAAGGGCUGGGCCUCUGCAUUUCUGAAGGCCGAUAUCACCCCUCCUGGCCAAGCGACAUCUUUGAGCUCUGAACAGAUGGCUAAGCUCCAAGCUCCCCGAGCCUCAGUUUCUUCCUCUGGGCCCUUCUCCAGGCCUCUCCCAGCUCUGCCUCUGGCACCAGGAGGUGGAUUCCUCUCCCUUCAAACCUGCCCAGGAAAAAAAAGCCAGGAUGCAGAAGCCAGGAGGGGACAAAGGCUCAGAGUCACACGAGAUCAGGGACAGCGUGGACCGGGGGCAGUGCACCCAGUCGGGGGCACCGGGAGGAGCCCCCCUUCCGCUCUCUGGGGGAGCGUCUCCGGGGGGCUGGCCCUCCUAGGGAGAAGCUCUUUGGGAGGAAGGUAGGCGGGGAGGGCACAGCCCAGCCUGCGGAAGGAGGUGCCUGCUGGAGGGGAGGGUGCCCGGGCGAGCCUGCCAGGGCCUGUGUGUGUGGGGCCCUCUCGGUGGGUGUGCCACCCCAACUCCCCCAUUGGUAAAUAAAGCAGCCUGUGAGUCUUUAAUGGGCUCGCA